GAUGAACGCUAGCUACAGGCUUAACACAUGCAAGUCGAGGGGCAGCAUGAAGUUUGCUUGCAAACUUUGAUGGCGACCGGCGCACGGGUGAGUAACGCGUAUCCAACCUUCCCCUUAGUAGAGGAUAGCCCGGCGAAAGUCGGAUUAAUACUCUAUGUUGUAUUUUGAGGACAUCUGACGAAUACCAAAGAUUUAUCGCUAAGGGAUGGGGAUGCGUCUGAUUAGCUUGUCGGCGGGGUAACGGCCCACCGAGGCAACGAUCAGUAGGGGUUCUGAGAGGAAGGUCCCCCACAUUGGUACUGAGACACGGACCAAACUCC
rnacentral:rRNA from 1 species